CAGUAGCCACGGUAAUACGGAGGGAGCUAGCGUUGUUCGGAAUUACUGGGCGUAAAGCGUGCGUAGGCGGCUUCUUAAGUCGGAUGUGAAAUCCCUGAGCUUAACUUAGGAAUUGCAUUCGAUACUGGGAAGCUAGAGUAUGGGAGAGGAUGGUAGAAUUCCAGGUGUAGCGGUGAAAUGCGUAGAGAUCUGGAGGAAUACCGAUGGCGAAGGCAGCCAUCUGGCCUAAUACUGACGCUGAGGUACGAAAGCAUGGGGAGCAAACAGGAUUAGAUACCCGAGUAGUCCCUGUCUCUUAUAC
rnacentral:rRNA from 1 species